AAAUACGGACAAAAGGCGUCCCGGGGAGGGUCGAUACAGGACACAGGACAAAUGUCAUAAAUACGGGACAAUCCCGUCAAAUAUGGGACAUCUGGUCACCCUGAUUCAAGAGUAGAAAUUGGGUUAAUGACCAAGCGGUGACAUAGCGACCACCAAUCCCAGAAUGCGGUCACCAUCCCGAAAAAGUAUUUGUAUUCGUUGCCAUGGGUGUCAGUCAAGAGUUGUGGCCCAUCCAGGCACCACAACGUGACCUCUAGCUAUAUUCCUCGCGAACCAAGUGAUGCUAUGAUAAAAUUCUCAAUGGCAUCUGUAUAAAGGUUGCUGUAUAUAAUACUUCUGAACUUCUUGAAAAUGAGACGAAGAGAUGGCUGUGUGGCGACGAAUAAGAAAUGGUUUGUCGAUAGCUUUGAUGGUGGCCUUCAUAGUGUACAUAGCAUACUGCACCGAAGAACUUUAUACUCGCAUUCAGAACAAUAGAAAAUUGCAAAGACUAAUUAAUUAUGAAAAAGAGAUAAAUGAACUCACUAGUAUGUUAGGAGACUAUAAGAAAGAAGCUGCUAGCGUUCACAAGAGCCUCAGACUUCUCCGUGAGGCCUUUGACCAAGUUCUAAUGCAUCAGAAAGAUGUUUUGAAUGACAGAUGAUGCCAGCUUAGUGCAUGUGGAGUGAUAUAACUUGGUCCCUCUUCAGAAAUAGUUUGUAUAUAGUAUAUUUUUAAUACACUUCAAGAAGUAUAGAAAUAAAGAGGUUUAUAUAAAUAAAAUUUUCUACACUGAAGUUACAUUGUGUGCUGUUAGAGUAGUUAGGUGAAUGUUAGCAGUAGUAGUUGAAUAUUCUUUAGUAGGUUAUGUCACAGCAGAGCAUCUAGAACAUGAAGAAAUGCAUACUGGGAACAAUUCAAUUAUAUGUUAUUUUAAAGAGAAUUAUUCAACAUUGCUGAACAUUCUAUUGCGUAUAUGUAAUAUGUAUAUGUACAUUGGUCCAAGUCUGAAUGUCAGUUACUGUGAAGUACUUUUGCCAAAGCCAGUAUCCUUUCAUAAAUUUAGGUGUGGGCGCUGAAUAAUCCUGAUGGGUUCCGGCACUUGGUCCUUAAGACCUAAAUUUUGUUAUCAAUCGGUCAAUAAAUGUAGGCGCACAAUGAAGGUUUACUCAUAACACAAUGAAAGAAGAAGAGGAAUAUUCAAGUUAAAGAUUGUUAAUAAUUUUCAAAUCUUUCCUGCCAAAGCAUGUGUAUGACUGCAAUGUGUUAUGGAUUUGCCAUAACAUAUUUCCAUAAUGAUAAAGCGAAAUAGCUUUUCAUGGAUAUUCUUUGGAUUUUUUCAAAUACUCUAUAUAUAUAAUACAUUUUAGAUGCUUUGCUUUUUUGGACCAUCAAAAUAAAAUAAAAUCAAAAUACUAUAAUUGUAAGGUUACAUGGCUGUGCGACGGUCUUUUUACUAAAUGGAUUUAUCUAUCUUUCAGUCUUUAAAAUCGUCACUCAUCUUUAAAGUAGGUCCAAUCUGAAUCUUUAUUCUUUCAAAAUCUUGAAGGGAAACUUUUUGAGUCCUGCCAUGAAUGGCUUUAUUAGUAGUAGUACUCUUAGAAAUUAGCACAUCAGUGUAGUAGCAGUGUGCAUUAUUAUUAUUGUAGUUAAUGAAACCUGUUGUUAUUUUUUGUUUAAAUUGUAAUAGUAUAUACUAUACUCAUACUGUACUACAAGUUAUUAUAAUGACUGGUAGCUAACUUGUUAGUCUCAAGUCAUCAUAAUGUUCACUCUUCAUUGAAUGCUGUUUGUUUUCCAGAGUUUAUUAAAAGGUUCCACUUUAGAAACCAUUAUCAGGCCUGGCAUCAUGUCAGGGUUAUUUUUUUCUUCUAUUCAGCACUUGAGAUUGAAGAAGCACUUGUUACAGGAGCAAGUUAUGGUGGUGUUAUUAGCACUUGGUAGUUUUUUCCUCACUUUCAGUAUGUAUUGUCAGUUUACUAAUAGGUUUAUUAUUGAAGCAUUGAUAUGUAUUGAAGAAGUUUACUAAUAUGUUAGAAAUGAAAACUUUCAGGAAAAUAUUUGUGUUCAGAAUUUCAUUCUGUAUGGGACAAAUUUUUAUAGGGCAUAGAAUUUUACCAUACUUACAAAAGAACACAGUCUGGUUUAAAGGUGGGUACACACGUGCGAACCGAACCUUGUAUUGUAACCGAUUCUUGUAACAAAAACGCAAGUGUGGACGGUUCCUCGAACCCGAACCCCGAACCCGCGAGGUUCGAAGCUCCGUUCGCCCUCCGUCCCGGCAAUUGUCGGUUUUUGGGCCCCGAAUCAAAGGGAGGUCUCUUUGAACGUUACGCCAUGUGUGGACGGGACCUGUAUUACACGUGUAACAACAGAGGUUGCUGAACUUGUUAACACCGACUAUGAACAAGGCCGUCCAUAGUAGAGUCCCUUGGUUUGGUCAGUCAGUACAUACGUAUAUGUCUACCAUGGCUGAUUGAAGUGACGAAGAGGUCCUUCAAUUUAUUAGUUAUUACGAAGAACAGACUUUAUUGUGGCCAGAAACUUCUUGGAAUCUCAUGUCAGCGAGUAAUUCCCGACCACUGUAUUCUACCCUUCUAGUAUAUAACCCUGAUUGCCACCAUCUUCUUUUAUUUCGCUUCAUCUUCGUUAAAUAAUGUAUAUAAAUAUACACGGCAGCUGCUACUUGCAUGGUGGCCAUCGUCGGUAAACAACCCGGACAGAGACAGACUGAUGAUCGCAGUGGAUUGAAAUGAAGUUACGUGCUUAACGUGGUUACGGUUCGUCCUCAACAUUUUGACACCUUGUAACCGUAUAUGCGUAACUCAGUUACACAUACAAGGUUCGGCUCUCACGUGUGUACCCACCUUUAUAGCACUGUAGGCCAUGUUCACUUAUGAAAUGUACAGUGUAAAGAUUUGCCACAAAUUGAUAAUUUGCAUCGAGCUUGGCUUACUAGUUGUUCAUACGCAAACAAACCUUCGGUCUUAACAAUAGGAUUAAUUUCUAGCGCCUAGCUGGAUCCAGUUAAAAAACAGAUGAAAGCAAGGAAUCUUGUGGUAUCUGGCAACGCAUGCGUAGAUCGGGUGAGAAUGGUCAAAGACCUUUCACCUACGCCAACACGUCAGUCUUUUCUUAACCCUUUAACGCCAAUUGGACGUAUUAAACGUUGACGAAAAUUGUCUGUCGGGUGCCGAUUGGACGUAUGGUACGACAACGAAAAAAUGUUUUUUUAAAAAUUUGCGGAAAAAUAGUUAUAGGCCUACUAGGCAAAAACUUUUGAAUCACAUGCCUUGGGGGAUGCUGGGAGCUCAUGGAUCAAGGGGUUGUUUUGUUUACAAUCGUUACCCAGGCACGCAAGCACGAAUUUCUUUCUUCUCGCACUAAAAAGCAUCAGCGACACAUCUCAAAAAUUAUUUUGUCACUGACAUAAGUUUUGCACCAUUUUAUAUUAGCCGUUACAUAGAGUAUUAUAUAUGAAAAUGUGCGCAAUUUCAUGUACAAUACAACCUAAAACAACUCAUGGUUGUAGCUUUUAUCAGUUUUGAAAUAUUUUCAUAUAAAUAACAAUAAGUGCCAAAAUUUCAACCUUCGGUCAACUUUGACUACUGAAAUGGUCGAAAAACGCAAUUGUAAGCUAAAACGCUACGCUUAUAUUCUAGUAAUAUUCAAUCAAUUCCCUUCAUUUUGCAACAGACAAGUAGUCUCUAGCACAAUAUUUCGAUUUAUGGUGAAUUUAUGAAAACAGCUUUUUUUUUACGUCCGCAUGUUACGAAUCCAUGCAUCAUUUUGUGAUCAUAUUUUCUCUGUUUUGCCUUGAUCAUUUUACAAUGUGUUAUAUACCAAAAUGAUCGCAAUUUAGUGUACAAUACAACGAAAAAAAGGUAACUCAAUAGCUUUAACCGUUUUGCUCACAGUGCGAUUUGUAUACAAUUAUAUAUGAAAUUUUUUUUCGCGCUGUCAUAUAUUGCAAUAUUUAUAUAUGAUAAUGGUAUUUUUUUAAUUUCUGAUGGUUGCAUACUAAACUUCAGGCAAUAACAAAAAAGGGAGCAAAAAAUUAACUCUAAAUCUUAUAAACUAAGCGUGCUGUGAUUUUUUGAAAAAAACAUUUUUUCUGCUUUGGUGCUCACUCGCGAACGCCGCCGGCAUACGGGAGACGAUUUUUAAAAUACCCCUUCGGCGUUUAAGGGUUAACCUCCUGGGCAAGUUUAGUGGUUAACCUCUCUUGCCCUUUACCCAGUUCAUUGCCCGUUUCACUUGUGUUUAGUGUGUGUGUGUGUUUGCUGAUAUUAUGGCUUCUUCUGCUCCUUCUCGGCCUCGUCAACGUGUGUGCCCUGGAAUUCCAGGUUUUCCGUGUUCUCGUUUUUUGGUUUUGGCGGCGACAGAACCCCACAUCACAUGUAGCAGGUGCUGUUCUAAUUUUUGUACUAUAACGAAUCCUUGCAUAGAAUGCCAGGCAUGGCCUAAAGAGCAGUGGAAGUCGUUUUAUAGCAAGAGAGAGCAUCGGAGGGUUUCAACUCUUCCUUCUUGGGAAGGUUUUUCGCCUAUUCCCAAUGCUUUGUUUCCUGCAGUAUUCACCCCCUAUAAUAGUGUUGUUCCUGUGUCUCCUUCCUUUUCUUCCAUUGAUUUGUCGCUAGAAAUAUUGGGAGGCCACCAGGCUGAUUUUUGUAAUGUCACCCCUUCAUUGUCGUGAGGCUUUUUCAUCAUUCUCAUUUAUUCCAGAGUCAGAGGCAUCUAAGAUGGCGGCAAUUUGGAAGACGCUCAGGCUACGGGGUACCCCGUCCUUGGAGGAGUUGCUAGCGCACUUUAUGGAGGCUCGCUACCCCCCUCCCCAGGCUGGAUAGACCAUCCCCCCUCCCUACGGUCUCGUCUUUGUGAGUAGCCGAGGUCAGCGAUCUUGUAUUGCUCCGCCAGUGACUGUUGCUGCUUCUUCGAGUCAGAGGGAAGCUGUGGCAUCAGCCCCGUUGAUGACGUCACAGGAUCCGUCAUUGUGUAUUCCUCCGCCAGUGGUGUCUGAUUCUCCUUAACAAUGAGAAGAAGCCAUGACGUCAUCACCACUUGUGACGUCACUCGCAGUCAUCUCCUCUGUGCUUCCUCUCUCAGUCAUCUGUGCCGCCAGUUCGCUACAUCUCCCUUCCAUGUCAUCGGAGCCUUCUCUUGCAGAUCAGUCUGAGGUUAUAUGCCAGGCAGUGCUCAGUAGGUUGGACUCUGUUUUGGAUGAUAAGUUGGCUGCCUUGUCGGUUGGGAGGAUUGGAAGGAAACGCGUUGCUUCGUCCCCGCCUCCUGUGAAGAGAUCGCAUAAGAAACCAGUGCUGUUUUCCUCUCCCUCUUCCCCCUCUACGCCACGUCUGCGUAUCAAGCGUUGGAAUGCUAAGGACUUGUCUCUUUCUUUCGGAGAGUGUUAGUGUAUCUUCCCUUGUGCAAUCUGCAGCAGCUGCUUCGUCUUCUGCAUCGAAUUGUGGGCGUGUUGCAACCUCCCCCGUUUGUGCACAUUGCGAGCGUGUUGCAACCUCCCCGUCCAUCCACAUUAUGAGCGUGUUGCAACCUCCCCUGCAAGUGCUCCUUCUUCUCCAAGGCCUAUUCGUCUCUGUAAGGAUCUCAAGGCACCUGUCAAGAGGUCGAAGGUAGUGAGCGCAGAGUUGGUGCAGCAGGAGUGUUUGCCUGGCCCUCUCACUGGUGCUUCCAAGAGUUCGAUUCUGGAGAAUUCUCCUUUGAUCCCGAGUGUUCGGGAUUCCUCUCCAACUCAUGUUCGUAAGUCUGCCAUGCCCUUGACCAUUCACAGACAUGUUAAUGAGUCAUCUGUUGGAGGAGUACAUAGUGAUGUUCCUAGUGUUAAAGUGGGUUCAUCUCAGGAGCCGAUGCGUGGACCCAGCCCAGACAGGUUAGUUGGUGUUUCGGGCUGUUUGGCUGCUGAUCCUUCCGUUAAUGGAAGGUGCCUUAGAGGAGCAUACACAUCCUUCUCGUCAUCGGUCUCUGUUGCCAGAGCAGGAGGAGGGAGACACGCAAGAGUUUUUGUCUUCCUUUUCGGAAGUUGGUGAUCUCAUUCGUGGGUUAAACAAUUCGGAAAGUAGGACUCAGGCUUGGUCGUCUUACACGCCUUCUUGCUGGGAAGCCUUGGUGGGAUGUUACGAACCGAGAGAGGUCCGCUUCAGGUUCGAUAUUAUUAUAAACAAAAAGAAUUCAACUCCAACAAUUGGAACUGGGAAUACGAAUAUAGAAAGAAACACUAACACAACAAAGACUUAUUUACAAGCUUACUAACAAAGAUAAAUGCAGAAUGGUGUCUCAUAUUUACAUAAAAAGGCAAAAUCUUACACUGCAUGAACUGGGGGAACAGUGAGGUAAUGAAAGUACUUGCCGACCAGUUUUGCAACUCGAAGCGAUGGCUUCACAAAAGGAGAACUCUAAUUGUAGAUGCCUUCUUGCCUCCGUAUUGCAGAAAAUAAUGUCUACUCUUGAUACUCGAAGGGUAGGAACUUCUCUAAACCUCUUGCAGAACGUUUCUUCUCUGAAGUCUUGCUCUACGUCGAAAUAACUCUGUCGUCCACUCCUGACGACGACUUGACCAGAAUUCGACCAAACUCUCUCGAGUGCCUUGUUCUCUCUGAUCCUUCGUCCUUCUUCUCUUAUCUCACUCUGAUGAUCUCUGCUGCUGAUCUCUCACUGAUAAUCUGAUCUGUGGCUCUUACUGAUGAUCUCUUACUCUGUGACUAAUUGAUGAUCUGCCUUCUCCUACUUCAUCCGUCGUAUUUAUACGGCAUUCUGGGGGCGGGGCCUAUGGCGAACAUCACAGACUCCCGAGAUUACGGGAAUGAUUUAGAAGAAUCUCGACGGAAUAUUGCAUCAGAAAUCGCGGCGUUCCUCAUGUCACGUCGGCGCCUGUCAAGUUCCACAACACUCCUGCUGAUUCUAGAACAAUCAUGAGAACAGGUACCUCCAACACCUGCGCGAAAGCAUGUGUGCUGCAGAACUUUUCGAAGAUGCGUUUUCCUUUCCUUUAAUUCGCAAUUCCUUGCUAUGAAGCAAUUACCAUGACACGUCCCCCCAAAAAGAGAAAAAAAUUAAAUCAACUGAUUUUAUUUUUUUCUAAAUAGAAACAAAAAUUAAACAGCAGGAGAACAAUUCUGCAUAAAGCUUUGAUACUUCUCCAUUCACUCAACCACUCGUGCUAAAAUAGAAAGCGCUCAUUAGGCUGCUCAUUCUGAAAACUCUAAGAGACUAUUAGCUAUCACAUUAUCCUUUCCUCUUACUUUUUCCGUUUUCUCAAAAACUAAUUUCUCUCAGUAACACUGUCACAUAGAACACUUGCCAAGGCCAAGGUGCGGGGCCUUCUUUAUAAUUCUGAAGCAAGUUUAUAUUCAUUGACUUUUCUCUACUCUUACCCAUAUCAAUUCCAUAAUGUAUAUGUCCCCUCUCCUCUAACACUGAAAAAGGACCUUCGAACUUGUAAGAUAAAGAGGGACCUUCUUUCUGGACUAGUACUAAAACUUUAUCUCUUACACACAAACUUCUCUCUUUUGCUCUAAGAUCAUGUUUCCCUUUAGUUUCCCUUUGACUUCCUCUCGCGCUUCCGUUCUCCCCCGCUAGUUGCCAAAUAUCUCUUAAAUUGUUUUUAUAAUACUCUAGAUUAGUUGUGCAAUCUUCUCUACCCUUACUUCUAGGCAAAGGUCCGACCAUAUCGAUACCUACAUUUUCAAAAGGUUCGCCUACUGAAGGAAUAUUACACAACGGAACUUUGGGAAUUACUUGAAUCGGUUUCCCGGCAAUUUGAUAUUCAUGACAGCUUAAAACAUACCUUUUCACGUCAUUUCUCAUUUUAGGCCAAAAGUACGCCCUACUAAUAGACCUGAAAGUUUUAUUUACUCCUAAAUGUCCUUGCUCAUCAUGUGCUAACUUCAAAACUAAUUCACGAAGCUUCCUAGGAACCACUAAUUGUUCGGUGAUUUCCCCUUUACUACCUGACUUAGGACGAACAUAAUGACACAAAACUUCGUCCUUUUAACAAAAAGUUUCCUUACACACAUCGAGAACAUCAUCCAGCUCACAUUCAAAAAUUCGGGUUAGUGUCUCAUCCUCUCUCUGACACUUGACUAGCGCAUCCAUGCCUAAUUCAUCACCGUAACUAGUACUAGAUACCGGUACAUUUACUACGUUACUCUCGACAGUUACACCUUCCGUUUGUCUAUCACUGUCAACGAUAGAGUUAGGCUUCUCAGCCACACUCAUGCCAAGAUCAACCUCGCCACCUCUAUCACACUCGUUCGAAUCCACGAACUUACGUUCGAAUCCACGAACUUACUCUCGUUCGAAUCCACGAACUUACUCACGUUCGAAUCCUCGAACUUACUCACGUUCGAAUCCACGAACUCACACUCGUUCAAAUCCACGAACUCACUCUCGUUCGAAUCCACGAACAAAUUAUGACCGUAGUCUAUGUCUGUAUCUAAACCCGACCUAGUUACUACCAUUUCAGGCACUGGAAUAUCCCUCAACAGGAUUCACAUUCUUAGAUAAAGCUAAGUCAUUACUGACAAAAAUGUCAACGCCAUCAACAGGCAAACUGUCAACAACUGCCAGUUUCACUUCUCCUGACACUACUUGACUUUCUAAAUUCAACUUCAACAAAGGACAAAGAACACAAGUGUUAGGAAAUCCACCUAACAUGACUUUCUCUUCCAUAUUGAUUUCUGCCCUAUUCGGCACACUCUCUCUCCUAAUCAGUGAGACAGCAGCUCCUGUGUCUCGAAGCAAGACCACUUCCCUUGAAAAUACUCCUCCAAGAGAGGAAACUACGCCUUCUGACAGAAAUUCACCAAAAAAUUUCCUAGUUUCUUUUAUCACAUCAUUCCUACUUGAUGAAAGGUUAACUAGAGACACUGGUUUUUUACCGUCCUUCCUUUCUACUGCACAAUUUCUCGCUAAAUGCCCUUUCCUAUUACAUCGGAAACAAGUUAAUUCUGAAGGUUUUCCGCAUGUAUAACAGGAAUAGUCACUUUUACUCGCAUUGCUAUUACUAGAACUGAAACCUUUACUGCUUUGUACUCUACCAGACGAAGGAUCAUUUCGUUUCUUACUACACUCAAAUUAUGAGUUAAGACUAUAUUCGUCAGCUAACCUAGUUGCUCCUGCAAAAGAUACUUCUUGCCUAUCUUCUAUAUAAAGCUUAAUCUCAGGGGAUACGUUAUCGUUGAAGUUUUCUAACAACAGUAAGUUCUUCAAACUAUCAAAAUCCUCAACUUUAGCAGAAGUUAACCAAUCAAAAAACAGCCUUUCUAACUUCUUACCGUAUUCUACAUACGUAAUAUUUUCAUCCUUUCUCAAAUUUCUAAAACACAUGAAAUAUUUCGUUACAUCUUCCUCAUCAAACUUUGGUACUAAUUUCAGCACUGCACUCAUACCUAACCUAUCAGCUCCGUUUUCGCCUGUCCAACUGUUACGAGUACUUUCUCUUAACCGAGCAAUUUCCAACUCGUGCAUACAUUCUUUCUCUCUUUCUUCCUGUUGCAUUACCAACAUUUCUCUCUCUAGCUGCAUUUUCAUUACUUCUCUCUCAGCCGCUCUUUCAUCUCUCUCAUACUUUUCUCUUUCUUUCCUUUCAACAUACUCACGGAGAUCAUUCCCUCUAGACCCAGAAGCUUACCUGACUCAAUAAACUCUUUCACCAUCUCACUUAUUCUGGUUUUUUCUAUAUUCUCCCUGUUUCAAACUGUUAAAGUGCUAGAUAUAUUCUAAGCAAGGUCGCCACAAUGUUACGAACCGAGAGAGAGGUCCGCUUCAGGUUCGAUAUUAUUAUAAACAAAAGGAAUUCAACACCAACAGUUGAAACUGGGGAUACGUAUAUAGAAAGAAACACUAACACAACAAAGGUUUAUUUACAAGCUUACUAACAAAGAUAAAUGCAGAAUGGUGUCUCCUAUUUACAUAAAAAAGGUAAAAUCUUACACUGCAUGAACUGGGGGAACAGUGAGGUAAUGAAAGUACUUGCCGACCAGUUUUGCAACUCGAAGCGAUGGCUUCACAAAAGGAGAACUCUAAUUGCAGACUCCUUCUUGCCUCCGUAUUGCAGAAAAUAAUGUCUACUCUUGAUGCUCGAAGGGCAGGAACUUCUCUAAAUCUCUUGCAGAACGUUUCUUCUCUGAAGUCUUGCUCUACGUCGAAAUAACUCUGUCGUCCACUCCUGACGACGACUUGACCAGAAUUCGACCAAACUCUCUCGAGUGCCUUGUUCUCUCUGAUCCUUCGUCCUUCUUCUCUUAUCUCACUCUGAUGAUCUCUGCUGCUGAUCUCUCACUGAUAAUCUGAUCUGUGGCUCUUAUUGAUGAUCUCUUACUCUGUGACUAACUGAUGAUCUGCCUUCUCCUACUUCAUCCGUCGUAUUUAUACGGCAUUCUGGGGGCGGGGCCUAUGGCGAACAUCACAGACUCCCGAGAUUACUGGAAUGAUUUAGAAGAAUCUCGACGGAAUAUUGUAUCAGCGUCGCCGCCUGUCAAGUUCCACAACACUCUUGCCGAUUCUAGAACAAUCAUGAGAACAGGCACCUCCAACACCUGCGCGAAAGCAUGCGUGCUGCAGAACUUCUCGAAGAUGCGUUUUCCUUUCCUUUAACUCGUAAUUCCUUGCUAUGAAGCAAUUACCAUGACAUGGGAGCUACGCAGGAUCCCAAAUCAUCUCUUCAGCGCCUCUGUUUCGGACCGGGACGGUUCACUUCGCUCUAGGGGCUCUUCCAAGCUACUAACCCCACCUCUCACGAGGCAUAGGAAGUACUAUGCUACGAACUCUGCAUUUUUGAUGUCGCGCCAUCAUAAUCCAGAAGUCAUUCGCCUGAAGCCAGGAUUGGCUUUGGAGCAGGUGAGGUUGGUGGCUCCGUCCUUGUCUCUGCAAGAUGCCUCAGCAUUGGAAUCUCCAUGUUGCAGACGGUUUUUGGCUGGACUUCUGGUCUGUAGUCAUUGCCAAGAUAGCUUCUGACAGGUCCCCAGAAGGUAUGGUGAGUGCAUCCUUGCUUGCCAGUCUGUUGCAGUCUGAAGGCAAGGCGUUUUCGUAUAUGGUUCACCUCAGUGUUGAUUUAUGGUUGAACCCUCUUCUGAUUAGAAGAGACGCAGCUUUGUCUAGGAUGGAGAGAUCAGUUGACACUGAGUUCUUGCUGGCAUUGAGGAACGGAGAUCUGUUGAAAUCCCAAUAUUUGUUUUCUCGAACUGAGUUCAAAAAUGCGAUAGACCGGCAUCGGGCUGACACCAAAGACAGACUGGUGCACCAGGCUGUGUCUAAGUUGGAGUUUCAUCCUCGGAGACAUCUGGCUCCUCCUCCUCCCCCUUUCCAGCAGCAGUCAAGAAGCUCGUCGCCAGGUAGGCCGUCAAGGAAUUCGAGUUCGGCAGGGCCUUCUUGUUUGACUCAGAGGAUCAACAUCCCUUUCGCUCUUGUUUCUUUAAGCCAAGAAGAGGCCCAAGGGGCAGAGGUAAAGGGGGCCGUCGGUAGGUUAGGUGCCUCUCCCUCUCCUGUGCCACGGGUGGGGGGCUGCCUGGCAGCCCAUUGGGCCAAGUGGCAGAGUUAUGGGGUGGAGAAUGGGUGGUAGAUGUCCUUUGGGUGGAGUUCCUGCUGCCAUUCGACUUCUCUCCUCCUCUGUCGGACAAACUGCAGCUCAGGAAGGCAUAUCCUCCAGAUUCUCUGAAGUUCUUGGCUCUUCGGGAGGAAGUGCAGAAGAUGCUGGACAAGGAUGCGAUAGAGGAAGUGAUGCAUCCAUCUCCAGGGUUUAACAGUCACAUCUUCUUGGGGCCCAAGAUGUCGGGAGAAUGGAGACCUGUGAUCGAUUUAUCCACCUUGAAUCACUUCAUCAGGAAGACACGGUUCAAGAUGGAGACCCUGCGUUCGGUGUUGGCAGCCGUGAGGGAAGGCGAUUUCAUGCUGCCAAUAGACUUAAGGGACGCAUACCUCCAAAUCCCUGUUCAUCCGACGUCCAGGGAGUUCCUUCGCUUCUCUCUUGGGGACAAGGUUUUCUAGUUCAAAGUCCUAUGCUUCGGGCUGACAAUAGCCCCUCAAGUGUUCACAAGAGUCUUCUCUCUCGUGUCAAGUUGGGCCCAUGCUCAGGGGAUCUGUUUGCUGAGGUACCUCGACGAUUGGUUGGUCUUGGCAGUUUCCAGGGAAAAGCUGGUGCAGGACAGGGAUCAUCUACUUCUGUUUUGUCUGGAACUGGGCAUCGUAGUCAACCAGGAAAAGUCGAACCUCGUGCCCAGUCAAAGGAUUCUCUACCUGGGUAUGGUCAUCGAUAUGACUGGCAAAAGUUUUCCCAUCGGAUCAGAGAUUGGAGAAGUUGCAGGUGGUGGCGCGUGACUUCCUGUAGGAACCACAUCAGUCAGCUCAUCAGUGGCAGGUUCUUCUGGGAGUGUUAUCUUCCCUGGAGAAGCUGGUCCCUCAUAGGCAUCUUCAUCCUCAGUCUCUGCAAUGGAGACUGGGAGAAUUCUAGUCUCUGGCAGGAGAUUCACCCCUGUUAAAGGUUCCUCUGUCUCUGGAAGUGAGAGAAGACCUUCGUUGGUGGUUGGACAACCAAAAUCUUUCGAAGGAUGUCCCUCUGCGUUCUCUUUCACUGAACUUCCUCCUGUUCUCAGAUGCCUCAAUCGCAGGUUGGUGCCUCAUUUAGGUGGCCUCAUCGCUUCAGGCAUUUGGAGUUUGGAGGACAAGCAACAACAUAUCAACGUCUUGGAGUUGAAGGCAGCCUUCCUGGGUCUGAAGGAGUUUCGGGAGAAGGUAGAAGGUCAUUCUGUCAUUCUCAUGUCGGACAACACCACGUUGGUAGCCUAUGUGAACAAGCAGGGAGGCCUGGUUUCUCGUCAACUUCACCAGGCUCACCAGUAGGCAGUCAGCAAUUUGGUAGAGCUCUUAGCCUGGUAUAUCCCAGGCAAAUGGAAUGUGGUCACAGACAAACUCAGUCGUCAGGAUCAGAUCCUAGGCACAGAGUGGUCCCUUCAUCAAGUGGUAGCAGACAAAGCUUUUCCAGGAUUGGGGGAGACCCAUGCUGGACCUUUUUGCAACUCGCUUCAACAGGAAGCUGGAGAUAUUCUGUUCAGUGGUCCCAGAUCCUUUAGCAUUAGCAGAGGAUGCAUUCCAACAUCCCUAGGACAACAUGGAGGUGUAUGCCUUCCUUCUGUUUUGUGUGAUCUGUCAGGUUCUGAAGAGGCUAAUGAGUUCACAUGGUCUCAGGAUGACUCUGGUAGCCCCUCUGUGGCCUCAGGCGGAAUGGUUCCCAGAUCUGCUGUCGUUGUUGUCAGAGGUUCCGAGGGAGAUUUCCCCUUGGUGACAUCUCCUGUGUCAGCCCCAUGCAGAAAGGUUCCACCAGUCAGUAGAAUCCCUGUCUCUUCACGGUUGGAGGCUAUCAAGUAUCUCCUCUGAGCGAGAGGCUUUUCUCACAGAACAGCAGGGCAUGUGUCCAGCAGUCUCAGAAAGUCAACCUCCGCGGUUUACCGAGGGAAAUGGCGAUCUACUGUGAUUGGUUUUGUAAACGGGGUUUUUCUCCACUCGUAACCUCUAUUCAGCGAAUAGCAGACUUUUUAACCUUCCCCAUAGCGGAUAAACGUUUGUCUGUUUGUGCCAUUAGAGGCUACAGGGCGGCCCUGAGUUUGGUGUUUUGCCUUAGAGAUAUAGACAUCUCCUCUUCCUGGGAACUUUCCUUGCUAGUUAAGGGGUUUGAGCAGUCAAGUUCUCCUAGAGAGCUCAAUCCUCCGACGUGGGAUGUUUCCUUGGUUCUCAAGAGCCUCAAUAAGAGUCCAUAUGAGCCCUUGCGUCGCUCAUCUGACUGGAACUUGACGCUUAAGACAGUUUUCCUUCUGGCCUUGGGAUCUUCCAAGAGGGUAGGAGAGCUCCAUGGUCUGAGCUAUGAUGUGAAGCACACCAGGGGUUGGGGGUUGGUGCCCUUCGAAUUUGUCCCAGAAUUUGUGGCCAAGACCCAAAAUCCCUCUGUGCAUGAUGACAGGUUCACUUCAUUUUCCAUUCCUUCACUGAAUGACUUUGUGGGUGGUGAUGCUCAAGAGCUUUUGUUGUGCCCUGUCCGGGCCCUGCUUUGCUAUGAAGAAAGAGGUGUCUAAGAAUACUAUUUCUUUUUGGAUACAGGAAGCCAUCAGACAGGCAUACUUGGCUCUUGAUGAUUCCACCACCACGUCUGUGCAGGCUAGAGUGCAUGACGUUAGGGGUAUUGGUCCCUCUCUGGCUUUCAAAAAGAAACUUGGCUGUACAUAGAGUGCUGAGCGCUGGUACUUGUUUACGCCAGUCCAUGUUCACCUCUUUCCAUCUUAAGGAUGUUGCCCACAGAUCUGCGGACACGUUUUCCCUGGGUCCUGUGGUGGCUGCCCAACAGGUUGUGUAACUCUUAGUUGCCCUUAACAGGGCACUUUUGUAUCUUACCUAAGAUGAUUGUGUGGAUGAGAGAAUGAGUGAGUUGGCUGGUCUCUUUCUUUCUCUUGUACCUUUCCUUCUUCCUUCAGGUGGGUUAAGGAAUAGACACGUCAUUCGCUGGACUGGUCUGACACAGGUGAGUAAGGUAGUCAUACUGAUAGUGUGGUCGCUUAAUAUUCAAAUAUCAAACCCUCUAUUCAGUAGCAUAUGCUCCACUCCUUGGCAAGGAGGAGUUGAGAGUUGUACACACCCUGGUGUCUUGGUUUGCUAUUGGACUGUCAAAGUUUCUCUUUGGUUCCCUAUACAAUGGUUCUCCCAUAUAUCAUUGUAUGUCACUCAGGGUCUGAGUGGUUAGAUAUCAAUUUACCUAGCUUCUCAACGGGCUUCAGUCCCUCUCCAGAAGUCAUUUCUUCUCGAAGCUGGACUGGUGGGUAGGCCCCCAGCCAGAUUAGAAUGUCUUGUACCUCCCUCCAAGUAUGAGUCUAUCCUAUUGUUAAGACCAAAGGUUUGUUCGCGUAUGAACAAAUGACAAAUUUUCUAAGACAAUUUGUAUUUUUCAUAGCUACAAACCUGAGGUCUUAACAUUAUACUGGCUGCCUCUAGCCGCCCCUCUGUGUGUUAAGACAUCCUGAGUUGGGAAAGACUGAUGCGUUGGUGUAGGUGAAUGGUCUUUGACCAUUCUUCACCCAAUCUACGCAUGUGUUGCCAGAUAUCACAAGAUUCCUUGCUUUCAUCUGUUUAUUAACCGGAUCCAGCUAGGCGCUAAAAAUUAUCCUAUUGUUAAAACCUCAGGUUUGUAGCUAUGAAAAAUACAAAUUGUCUUAGAAAAUGUCAUUUUAUGCUGUACAUUCAAUCUUUGAAUUGGCUUGAAUCUUUUCUUUGCACAUUGCAUACUUAUCACUUAGCCUUCCUUCUUGCAUACUUAUCACUUAGCCUUCCUUCAUCAUUUGAGUUGGAAAUCAUGAGUUAAGAUACCAGUCUUAAGAUUAGUUGUAAUACAGGGAGGGCGUUCUCUACGAGGGAGUGCAUCUUUUGUUGACUACUGAAGUUGACUAUUUUACUGUAUCUCCUCUACGAACCUUCACUGAAUUUUACAAUUUUAUUUUUGAUUCUCUUGAAUUGUGCUCAGAAAUUGCUUAUUCAGUUUGUUUAUUGAGUGUAUAUUUUUGUUUUUGUGCAUACUACAUCCAUAUAGUAGCUAAGAUACUGUAAGUGGCUUAAUUUUAAGUAUUCGAAUUUGCAGCAUCCUUAAACCUCUAACUGCAUUUCUUUUACUUUUCAUAUGCUGUAUUCCAUAUGUUUUACGAAUAAAUCCUUGAAGUGCCCCCAAUGAGAGUCUAGGAAUUUGACUUGGUUGUUUUGUUAGGUGAAUGUAUAGAGCUAAAUUUUUGUUGAACAGUAAAGUCUCUUGUCAUUCAGCAACAGAUUCUCUGUUAUACUCAAAGAGUGAGCAUAAUUUUUAUGCAUCAUGAAUUUAAAGUUUACACACAGUGGGCAUGAUUCUGAAGCUGCCAAUGAAGUAUUACAGUGACACACACAUGCUCUAUUAACUUUAGAUAAGAAAACUUUUAACCUAAUGCAGAUGGGUUACAGAAUAAAACUAUAUAAGUCGUAGUAAACUGAUAAAGAUAAACUUCAAUUGGAAUACUUCAUGUUAAAUAUUAGAUUUAACAAUUUUUAUAUAUUACUUCAUUUUCAUAAAGUUAGAUGACUUUCCACAGCUGCUUGUGUGCAGUCCCAAGAGAGAUAGGAAUAGUAACUCACUGAUUUGGUUUAUUCAGCAAUAACCAGAGAAACUUACUUUGUAUUCUAAUUGCUGUAGCAGUUGUGUCAACUCCAGACACAGGAGUUUUUGGUAUGGUUGAUAUUCUUACUGAUGUUAUGUAUAUUGAAUUAAUUGACUGGUUUACAGUAUUUUUUGUUUUUGGGCAAUGGGUUGAAUGCAUUGGAAAUUUUGAAGCUGUAUCCAUGAAACUGUUGAAGUUAUGAAUAGGAGUAAAAAUUGAUACUUGAACUUAAGUUUUAUAAUGAUUAAACUAUUGGACAGGUGAAAAUCUCUGAGGAAGCCAUUUCUAAGUAGUAUAUCAACCAGGAAUUUUUUUGUCAGUCCUUUCAGUGAUUUAUUUGAAAUCGAUCAAAGUUGUUUAGUGUUUAGAUGUGGUAAGGAGGAAAAAUAAUAUGAACAAAAAUGUACCAGAAUUCUACAUCAAGUAUGUAGUCAUAAUCAUCCUCAGUACUCUGUGCCUUCAUAGAAUUCUGGACUAUGAAAUAGAAAAUGAGGUAUUAAAUUUAUUAUCCUCAAAAGUAUUUUUUAUGUCAGCCUUUCCAUUUGUGGGAGUUAGACUUCAAAUGUGUUCUCUCCACUCUUCUGUUUGAUGGACUUUCUGCCUGAAUUCCCAUCUGGUCUAGGUCUUCAUUUAUGUCCUUUUUUGAUUUCCUGGGCAUUCCUACAGGUCUUCAUCCUGCUACUUCUUAAUCUUUUGUGGCUAACUGUAUGCUAUCUCUUCCCAUCAUAUGUCCAGAGUAUUUCAGUGUUUGAAGUCAUGGUCUGUUUAACAGCUGCUGGACACCACAUCUCUCCUGUUUUCUCAUUUGUAACAGUCUUCCUGUUGCACUCUGCUUUUGCAGCUAGUAUUCUACAGUUAUACCUUUUCAAAGUGUUGACUCCAUUUUCUUUUUCAGUGCCCAUGUUUUUGUAGCGCAAUUCAUAAGUAAGGUGGUGAAUACACACUUGCAUUAUCUAUCUAAAAGGUUUUCAUGUAUGCCUUUACAUCAUGAAGAACAUGCAGUAGAACAUAAAACAUAAAGGCAUAUAUUACACAAUCUAUAAAGACAUAACAAUUCUUACUUUUUUGUAGGGUUUGCUGCAAUAUCUUAUAAUAGAACAAACUAGUUUUCACCAAUUAAUGCAUAUUUUUUAACAGCAAAAUUGACUGAUUAUGAUCCACAGUUAUAGUUAUGUAAAACAUGCCACCACAAAAAUUAUUCACCAGAGGUUUUUUAGUAGCCAUUCAGAAUUGUUUUCAAACCCAGUUGUUCAGCAAGUUCAGUGUUUAUUGCACUAAUUGUAUGAAGUUAGCAUAAAUGUUGGAAAUUGUUGGGUCCUUGCUCAUGUAGGCAUAAAAAGAAAAUGAGGAUGCUGACAAGGGAUGCAAAGCUAUAACUGCUUUGAUUAAAUCAAAUUUACCUGUUCCUGCCAGCAGUUUGUUAUUACAAUAUGUCUGAAACUCAUCAUGUUUAGCAAGUGACAGGAAUUGUGGAGUAAUGAAUCAAACAAUUAUAAAUUAAAACAGAUUACAUCAGCUGUUAGAUGUGGAAUUUUUCAUUUAAAAAAAGUACAUCAUGUUGGAAUAGUGUUAACCUGUCUUUGAAUUGGUUACACUCAACUGACUCAUGGGUAUUUGAUUAAUAAUCCAUAUUAGGAAUCCCUGUCCCAGGAUGUAAAGAAUGCAGAACAUCAUUUUAAACAUCUUUUAGUGACUGUCCAACUGUCAACAACAUAUGUCAAGUACUAUUAGAAACAAAUCUUUUAGAGAAAUUGUGUGUGAAUGUUAAGCAUUUUCAGUUUAUCUAGUCAUUAAAUUUUUAAAAGAAUUAAAUCCUACAGGUCAGCCCUGUGAGAGUCAGGAAUGUUAAUGGUUUGGUUAUAUACAACUAAUAAUAAUAAUAAAACGUAAUAGUACAUGUAUUAAUGUUAUACACAAUAAAGCAUCAUUGUAUACAACCAUUUAGAAAAGAGGUGACUUGUGUUUAUCAGUAACAAUUUUCACUGUAACUGUAGAUAAAGAUGUUUUAGCAAAUGAGACAUUGCUAUCAUAGCAGGAAUUAUUAUUUGCUUUUGCCUGUCUUUUAGUAACGGAAUAUUUAAAAUGUUUGGGCUAAUGAGAACUGUGUAAGUGUAAUGUACACUAGAAUAUCUACCAAAAUAUUUUUCUUAAUUCAUUUUAUAAAGAUUCCUCAAGUGAAAGGUUCAGUUCUCAUUCCUGUAAUAUCAAGGGCAGUAUUUUAUCUUUAGGGUAGCAUGCAUGCUUAAGAGCAACAAGAGCAAGUCUUCAUCACUGAAUUCCAGUAGUAAUAGUGACUUAAACAAUGAUUGCAAGAGUGGUUACUCUCACCAGAAAAUAUUAAGGUGGUUCGUAAGCUGUUUAAUGUUAAAUCUAUUGAAUGCUGAAAUGUUUACUUCUUUCAUCAAGUGUAGUGGCAGUGGAAAUUAUUCUUUGUCAACUCUAAAGUUUAGUGCAAAGGCUUGAAGAAACUCAAACACAAGUUGUAACAUACUCCUACAGUUUCCACCCAAUAGCUGGUCAGAACUUGAAAUUACACAUUUUCAGAUGAAAUCAAUAAUACAAAGUUUUCUUUUACCAUUUUUUUAUUGAAAUUUUGUUUGUACUUUUAUUUAUUCACUGUAAUAAUACAAAAGUGUAUUUAGAAACAUUCACAAGUUAGAUAUUUUGAGUUUGCAAUUGUAAAAACUUGUGUAUUCUCAUCUGAUUAUUAUAUGGUUUGUCCUUAACUUCUUUAUAAACCAGAGAACCACAUUCAAGCUGUUUUUCGGUUUAUGUUGCAUGUCUGUCAGUAGGCUACCAUCUAGCCUAGACUAGAAUGUUUGAAUCGUAACCAAGUAUGGUAAAAAUUUUAAUUAUUAGUUCAGCAUCUAACCCCAAAGGUAAAAGCUGAUGUUAUGAUGAAGGUCUGAAGAUUAAUUUUGCAAGAUUUUAUAAUUUAUGCAAAAUUAGCAGUUUCUGAUAUAUUUAUUCAUUUCAUACUGUAAUUAAUAUUUAAUACUGUUAUUAUCAUGGAGUAUUGUGAAUUUUUGAAAAUCAUAUUUUAAAGAAUAGCAGUAAGAGAGUAUCUCGGUACAUAUUUAUAAAUUUUAGUUGAUGUAUAAGUUCAUAAGGAGGUUUGUAUACAUGUACUACAUGUACGAAAACCUCCCCAUGAAAUUCCAUUUAAAAUAUAGAAUAUGAGUUGUAUCACCUACUGUUUAAGACAACUCCAAGUCUGGUAUUUUCCUCUGAGAGCAUACUGUCCCAAUAGUGGAGUGAUAAUGGCAGAAUACUUUUGAUUAUGAUAGUAAUGUGCUUUAAACUUGCCAAACUGUUGUAUCAUAAACACUAACAAUGUUACUUAGGCACAGAUAGAAUUGUAUUUGGGCUGAUUACAUCAUCUUUUGGUCUUGCCUAGUCUGUUGUAAUUCAUUUGAUUACAAUGGUAGGUAUGUUUAUAGUAGUCCUCGGGUUAUGCCAGGUGUCCAUUCCAACGUCACACUGUAACCCAGAAUUUUGCAAGAAAAAUCAGUAAAAAUGAGAAGUGAUGAAAGCCUGACCUUUAAUCCUAUGGGUGUACUGUACAGUAUUUUACUUGUAUUCUGAUGUGUGCAUCCAAAAACCGCCAAAUUUUUAUUUUAUAUUGUAGCUAACCGUAUAUGUACUUAUACUGUUCCACCACAGCAUAAGACUGACAUUACCCCAUAACAUCUUCUGUAACCUGGAACAGAUUUUUUUUUAUUAACAUAGUACAUUAGAGCCCUGGACCUCAACGAUAAUCCGUUCAAAAAGAGGCGUCGAAAUUUGAUUUCAUGAGAUCUGAAUCAAUAUUUUCCAUAAGAAAUAACUGAAAAUGGAUUAAUCCGUUCCUGACCACCCAUUAUUACCCUAAUCUUGCCUUAUUAUGCAAAACAGUACACGUAAAUUACAAUUAAACAAGUUCAGAGUUAAAUAAAUAUCAUAGACGUAUAUUUUUAUUUUUAAAUUAGCAUACUGUAUAAAAAAAACUAGCCUAUGUCCAUUGCGGCCGUAUUACCAAUGGUUGAACAGGUGCUAUAGGCUAGCUACUACUAAACAGAAUGCAGAGUAAUGGGUUGGCAGAAAAUUUUCUAACAUUAAAACAUUGAAAAACAAGCCUAACUAUUACAGUAUACCCAGUAAAUUAAUAAAAUAUGAACAUUAAGCUGAAUUAUGUUGAUCAUAACUUACAAAAAUUUGCCUACAUAACGUCGGCAGCGUGUGGCAUGAGCAGAUGUAAACAAACCUGUGUACAUAAAGAGACUUUAUAUACAAAAUCACUUUAAAAUAUCUUUCAAUAAAUGUGAAGAUACUAAAACUUUCUUCAUAUAAUAUCCUUGUAAAACAGGGAUGCGUCUUCUCUACCAGGAAGCUCAACAAAGCAUAAAGAUUGCUUUGCUUUCGUUACCAAACCACACACGUACUAAACAUUGCUUUCACUUGUGAAGAAAUUCACAAUCUCAUGAAGAACAAUCUGUCAUAAAAAUCCAUAAUUAUAUAAUAAAGUAGAAUAUUACUAUGUAAAAUAUACAAAGAUUUUCGAACACCGUUCAGUGUUUACGUUAACCUCGUUGAUGCUGAAAGCCUUUGUAAAUUUUUCAUCCUUCACUAUUAAUUGUGGAUUUUUAUGAGCUCACUACCAAACCUCAGAACUGUGUUCAAAAGUCUUUGUAUAUUUUUCACACUUUACUAUUAAUUGUCGAUUUGUAUGACAUACAUUUUUCUCUGCCAAACCUCACACAAACAUUGCAUUUACUAUGAAAUGCAUACGUGUGUGGGUGCAUAGUUUUUAGACUAGGACUGUCUAAAAAAUAUCGAGGGUGGAUGCUUGCUUACGCCAAGGAAAUCCCACAAAAACAAAAAAUGUGCGCAUACCAAAACAGUAGCAGCGGAGUGAUAAAGUUUUAAACAAAGUGUAGCACGCCACCACCAAUGUUACCAGACACAUAAGCAUCAUUUGAUGCUUCUAGCAUAUUUGAGGUAAAUUUCGUUUCGUAGCGUAAUAUAUUUGGCUUAACGACCCAUUUAGGAUAAUUUUGUGAAUUUUGGCAUAAAUAUACGUAGAAUCAUUAAAAAUAACAAACAUACCUGACUUAUUUUGAUAAAAUAAAGUACGUAAUAUUUAAUAAAUUAGGUUUAUCAAUCUGUCUCAUUAGAAAAUCUAAAUAGAGGUUUGAUGUGUCCCUCAUACAUACUGCCCAAGAAUUACAAAUGUCUGUGUUUCAUGAUGCAAGUGCAAAACAAAAUUGCAAAAAUAACCUUGGAGAAUGAACAACAGGACUUGGAUAGUGAAUUGCGUACACUAAUUAAUUACAAGUGAUGACAUUGAAAGUUUUCUUUAUGAAAACAUCGACACAGAGUCAUUUUGGGCUAAAGUUUAUCUUAGUAAUAAAUAUCCUAUUCUUUCAAAGUUAGCUCGAGCCUUGCUAACCAUUACCAUAUGCAGAUUGUGAACACAUUUCUCCAUGUAAGAAAAAAAAAAGUAAAAUGUUUCUUUAACAAAUGAACUAAUAUGCAGUGAAGUUAUCAAGAAAACAGGUGAUUGCACCAAAUUUAAUCCUUCUAUUAUUAUUAUUAAUAGGGGUUAGUUUUUCCAGACCUCUGAGUCUCAAGUAGACUCUUCUCGGGCUGGUUUAAUCCUUCUAAGGACAUGCUAAGGUCCAUAAUGAUAUUUCCUGUAAAUAGGAUUAUCAUCGUUUAUAUUUUAUGGCCAAUUGUAUUUAUAUCUUAUAUAUUUAUGUUCACUGAAAAUAAAAUAUUAAUUUAGCAUAACAGCACAAUUUUGUCAUCCCGCUAGCAUAAUUUUGAUAAAUUUAGCAUAAUUUUUUUUAUAGAGUUUAGCAUCAAAUGAGAAAUGAGAUCUAUUAGCAUAAAAUUAUCAUAACUUUGUCAUCCCACUAGCAUAAAUUUGAUAGAUUUAGCAUAAUUUCAUAUAGAGUUUUGCAUCAAAUGGAAGUGAGAUCUCAGCAUAAUAUCAGCAUAAUUUUGAUAGAUUUAGUAUAAUUUCAUAUAGAGUUUAGCAUCAAAUGGGAAGAGAGAACUAAGUAUGAUAUUAGUAUAAUUUUAUCAUCCCACUAGCAUAAUUUUGAUAGAUUUAGCAUACAGUAUUUUCAUAUAUGUAUAUUGGGAAGUGAGAUCUAAGUUAGCAUAAGAUUAGCAUAAUUUUAAUAGAUUUAGCACUUUUUUAUGUAUAGUUUAGCACCAAAUGAGAAGUGAAAUCUAAGUCAGCAUAAAAUUAGCAAAAUUUUAUCAUCCCACAAGCAUAAUUUUGAUAGAUGUAGCAUAUUAACAUAAUUUCAUAUGCUGCAUAGCAUCAAAGAGAUCUGGUAACAAAGCACCACCAACAACACCAACUAGUGAAGUUGACUGAAACAGUUUCGUUUACAAGCAUCAAUGGCCACGCUGGUCGAAUUCUGGAAUUUUAUUCAGUCUAAUGCAAAGUUUACUCAAAAUUUGGUGUUGAAACCCAAUUAUGUAGACUUCUAAUACGGUUGAGGUCUGUGGUUCUACUGUAUUGGAAAAGCGAUGUAAACUUUGAACAACAUGACCCGAGGACUUCUUGUGGUAUAUAUUUACUGUAUACUAAUUCAGAAUACAGUAAGUAUUUUAAAAGUAUAUUGCCUAUUAUUUAAAUGUAGCACUGAUUUUUAUUACUCAUUCAAGGAUAGAUUCAGUUUGAUGGAUAGUGAUUACAAAUUAAAAAUGAGAUAAUUAAAAAAUCUUUAUUUCAGCCUGUAUGAAAGGCUUUUAUGGAGUUUUCCAUUUUUGUCAGUGACACUGAAAAUUGCAAAUGUAUAAGAUCAUUCCUAGGUUUAGGAUGCUUAUUUUCAAGACUCAUAUUCAGUUAUAUGUAUAUGCCAAAAUAAACUUAAGAUUUACCAUCUUCAUUACAAUGAAUGUCAUUUCCAUUAGUGCCAAAAGAGAUUUAACUUAGGUCGUGCGUUCUUAUAGUGAGUUUAGUUGGAAAAAGUAGUUUAAAGGGAGAUCCCAAGAAUGGUUGUAUGUAACUAGGACUUUAAAUUAUACAUUCAUAUCUAUAUACAGGUCAUAUUUGUCUUUCUUUGUUAUUUCUGUUUUAUAGCUUAUAUAUUCUUCUUUUGCUAUUAGGGUGUUUGGGUUUGUAGUCUUUAGCCUUUUUAACUAGCACAUUUUCUUAUCCUUUUGGGAUUUUGGGGGAUCAAGAACUUUGCUGUGGUAUAUCACUCAUACAUUCUGCAUUAUUGUGUUUGGGAAUAUAAUUUCCUUUUAGCCUUACAUUAAAGUUAGGGGAGAUGCCAGAUGCCACCAAUUCCUUGCAUAAACAAUUUUUGUUUUUAUCGUAAUGUUAAGACCACAAGUUUGUAAGGUAUAAAAAAAAAUACAAAUUCAUUUAACAUGUCAUUUUUCAAAAUUUUUGAAAACUGAAAUAGGUAUGAAUUCUUACCAUGGAAAAUUAUGAUAAAAUUUACUUACCAAUCAUGUAUACCAUUGCUUAUUCAUAUCAGUUAUUGCAUAUAAAAUGCACAAAGAUAAUGAGGAAAAUUAGUUUUUUCUGUUGUCUUGUUCAAUAAUAAAUCUUUAAACAAUCACUUCUUGAAUAGGGAAUAGAGUUAAACCAUCCCUCUAUACAUUCCAUUUAUCAAAACGUGGUCAAUUUUUUUUUCCCACAGACAUCAUUUUAAUCUCAAGGGGUGAAAUUUGCAUGACAUUACAUGAUAUCAUAAUCUAGAAGGGUUAAGGAAAUGUUCUUCAAUGCUGAUGAUAAUUUUGUCACUUGUUUCAUCUUAACUUCCACUGUAAUUCAGAACUCACAUUGAAACCUUUUGUAUAUUAUUUCAUCUUAACUUCCACAGUAAUUCAGAACUCACAUUGAAACCUUUUGUAUAUUAUUUUGAUGCUUUACUGUUACUGUUUAUUGAGGGGGUUCAGUUUUACAGUGGUGACCUGUAGAAAAUAAGGAUUCAGGGUUGGGAUUUUGAUGCAAGAAUUCCUGUAACACUUUUGCUUUUAUCCCCAUUAACUAUAAGUGGUGUUUUUUGCGUGUGUGCAGUUUAAGGGUGAAGAUUGUACAGGGUAUGUAACCUGCUAAUUUUCAUAAAUUGCAGAAAAUUAGUGGAUUUCAAUAAAGUUUGUAGUCAACCAGUUUUGAGAGGAAACAAAUGUUGAUUUGGAUCUUAGUACAAUUUUGUAAGAAAUGGCCUUACCCAGAUUUAAAUUUGGAUAUAACUUUGGUAUUUAUAGGGUACAAAUGCCUUUGUGUUAUGUAAUAUUUUGCAGGUAUUAAAUAUUUAUUUAUUGGCAUUCCACAGUUCAAACAUUUACCAAAAGCACAGUUUGAUUCAAAAAGUAGCUUGCAAAAUUUUUAGUACCAUAAGUUUUUAGUGCCAAAAACAAGUCCAUUUUUUUUCUUUAUUGUGUGGUGGACAAGGUGAGAGAAAAGGUUGUAUGCUAUCAUUAAAGUACCAUACAAUUGCCUGAUAUUUUUCAGUAUUUGUAGAGAAGCUCCUCGGCAUUCAAAUCAAAAUCCCUCCUUAGAAAUUUCUCAAAGCCCUCUCUCAAUGUUCCGCGUAAUUUUUUUAUUUUCAUUAAUUGUUUUAAGCAGUUUCCUUGACUUGCUUACUCACAAUAAUGUCAAAAAUUCUGUACUGACUUGCUCUCCAUGUUUCAAGCCUAGAUUUUUUCCCCAAAAUGAAGGCAGCUAUUCCUCACAGAUACAACGUUAAAGUUUUAAUGGCCAGUUUAACUUUUAAGUUUCUCUUAAGUAAUGUAAUAUUCCAGUUCAUGCUUGAUGAAUUCAUUCAUAAAAUGGUAUUUUUCAUAUUGGAUGUGUUGUUUUUGCAUCUAUACUUAUAUUAUAAAUACUCUAAUUGUAGCUCAUUUUAUUUAGAAUUUUAUUUUGCACCACCAUAUAAAUUUUAUUUAGAAUUUCAUUUUGCACCACCAUAUAUUCCAGGAAUGUUCAUUGUAUAGCAAGGACAACACACUUUAAAAUUUCAAGUUCUGUUAAGCAUUUCCAGUCUUGUCUUCCAGUGAGACUUAGACAAUAUUCAAGGGUAAUGAAAUAUCUUUUCAGUUUAUAACAUAUAUUGGCUUGUUGAAAUAAAAUCUUACAAGAGUAGA